AACGAACGCUGGCGGCAUGCCUAACACAUGCAAGUCGAACGAGACCGUCGGGUCUAGUGGCGCACGGGUGCGUAACGCGUGGGAACCUGCCCUUAGGUUCGGAAUAACUCCCCGAAAGGGGUGCUAAUACCGGAUAAUGUCUUCGGACCAAAGAUUUUUCGCCUUUGGAUGGGCCCGCGUUGGAUUAGCUAGUUGGUAGGGUAAAAGCCUACCAAGGCGACGAUCCAUAGCUGGUCUGAGAGGAUGCUCAGCCACACUGGGACUGGGACACGGCCCAGACUCCUACGGGAGGCAGCAGUGGGGAAUAUUGGACAAUGGGCGAAAGCCUGAUCCAGCAAUGCCGCGUGAGUGAUGAAGGCCUUAGGGUUGUAAAGCUCUUUUACCCGGGAUGAUAAUGACAGUACCGGGAGAAUAAGCUCCGCCUAACUCCGU
rnacentral:rRNA from 1 species